CGAGUCCCAAACAGGACGAAACGCGCGUC
rfam:Schistosoma mattheei strain Denwood, Zambia genome assembly, scaffold: SMTD_scaffold0004043